UCGUCGAGUUUUCUAAACUUUUCGGCACAACUAACGUGAAAAAUGUUUUUUUCGCUGCAUUUAAGAUGCAUGGCUGAUCCGGGCUCGAAUUUAUUUUCGGUCUCGGCGCAGGCCAGGGGCCUGUUGAUGACGGUGGGAAUCGAGGAUAGCGUGUCAAAGCGUUAUCUUCCUCGCCGGCCGACAGGCACUCUGAGCAUAAAUGUUAGUACCCGAAAGAUGGUGAUCUAUGCUUGUCUAGAACGAAGCUGGGGGAAACUCUGGUGGAAGUUCGUAGCGGUUCUGACGUGCAAAUCGAUCGUCGGAGUUGAGUAUAGGGGCGAAAGACCAAUCGAACCAUCUAGUAGCUGGUUCCCUCCGAAGUUUCCCUCAGGAUAGCUGGCUCGGAGGUUAAAGUAGUUUCACCCGGUAAAGAGAAUGAUCAGGGGUACCUGGGGCUCAAAUGUCCUCAGCCCGUCCUCAAACUCUAAAUGGGUGAGACGUCGGGCUUGCUUAAACAGAAGCCACGGCAUAGAAUAUAUCGAGCCUAGUGGGCCAUUUUUGGUAAGCAGAACUGGCGAUGUGGGAUGAACCAAACGUUCGAGCUAAGGGGCCAAAAUGUCGGUCAAUUAGAUACCGUUAAAGGCGUUGGUCGCUCACGACAGCAGGUCGGUGGCCCUGGAAGUCGGCA
rnacentral:rRNA from 1 species